rnacentral:rRNA from 1 species
UACGUAGGGUGCAAGCGUUAAUCGGAAUUACUGUGCGUAAAGCGUGCGCAGGCGGUUUGGUAAGACAGAUGUGAAAUCCCCGGGCUUAACCUGGGAAUUGCAUUUGUGACUGCCCGGCUAGAGUGUGUCAGAGGGGGGUAGAAUUCCACGUGUAGCAGUGAAAUGCGUAGAGAUGUGGAGGAAUACCGAUGGCGAAGGCAGCCCCCUGGGAUAACACUGACGCUCAUGCACGAAAGCGUGGGGAGCAAACAGG